GAUGAACGCUGGCGGCGUGCCUAAUACAUGCAAGUCGAGCGAACAGAUGAGAAGCUUGCUCCUCUGACGUUAGCGGCGGACGGGUGAGUAACACGUGGAUAACCUACCUAUAAGACUGGGAUAACUUCGGGAAACCGGAGCUAAUACCGGAUAAUAUAUUGAACCGCAUGGUUCAAUAGUGAAAGACGGUUUUGCUGUCACUUCUAGAUGGAUCCGCGCCGCAUUAGCUAGUUGGUAAGGUAACGGCUUACCAAGGCGACGAUGCGUAGCCGACCUGAGAGGGUGAUCGGCCACACUGGAACUGAGACACGGUCCAGACUCCUAAGGGAGGCAGCAGUAGGGAAUCGUCCGCAAUGGGCGAAAGCCUGACGGAGCAACGCCGCGUGAGUGAUGAAGGUCUUCGGAUCGUAAAACUCUGUUAUUAGGGAAGAACAAAUGUGUAAGUAACUAUGCACGUCUUGACGGUACCUAAUCAGAAAGCCACGGCUAACUACGUG
rnacentral:rRNA from 1 species